GACGAACGCUGGCGGCGUGCUUAACACAUGCAAGUCGAACGGGAGUAUUGAAGAAGCUUGCUUUAGAGAUACUUUAGUGGCGGACGGGUGAGUAACGCGUGAGGAGCUGUCCUAUGCAGGGGGACAACAGCUGGAAACGGCUGCUAAUACCCCAUAAGCCGAGAGGUAAAAGGAUCAAUCCGGCAGAGGAGGUACUCGCGUCCUAUCAGCUAGUAGGUGAGGUAACGGCUCACCUAGGCGAAGACGGGUAGCCGGCCUGAGAGGGCGAACGGCCACACUGGAACUGAGAUACGGUCCAGACUCCUACGGGAGGCAGCAGUGGGGAAUAUUGGGCAAUGGGGGAAACCCUGACCCAGCGACGCCGCGUGGGCGAAGAAAUCCUUCGGGAUGUAAAGCCCUGUUGUAUGGGAAGAGCGGAAGACGGUACCAUACGAGGAAGCCCCGGAAACUACGUG
rnacentral:rRNA from 1 species